GAUGAACGCUGGCGGCGUGCCUAAUACAUGCCAGUCGAGCGAACAGACGAGGAGCUUGCUCCUCUGACGUUAGCGGCGGACGGGUGAGUAACACGUGGAUAACCUACCUAUAAGACUGGGAUAACUUCGGGAAACCGGAGCUAAUACCGGAUAAUAUAUUGAACCGCAUGGUUCAAUAGUGAAAGACGGUCUUGCUGUCACUUAUAGAUGGAUCCGCGCUGCAUUAGCUAGUUGGUAAGGUAACGGCUUACCAAGGCAACGAUGCAUAGCCGACCUGAGAGGGUGAUCGGCCACACUGGAACUGAGACACGGUCCAGACUCCUACGGGAGGCAGCAGUAGGGAAUCUUCCGCAAUGGGCGAAAGCCUGACGGAGCAACGCCGCGUGAGUGAUGAAGGUCUUCGGAUCGUAAAACUCUGUUAUUAGGGAAGAACAAAUGUGUAAGUAACUAUGCACAUCUUGACGGUACCUAAUCAGAAAGCCACGGCUAACUACGUG
rnacentral:rRNA from 1 species